GUACACGCUGUGACUAGCAUAUCAAUAAGCGGAGGAAAAGAAACUAACAAGGAUUCCCCUAGUAACGGCGAGUGAAGCGGGAAGAGCUCAAAUUUGAAAUCUUAAAGGGUUUCCCUUUACGAAUUGUAGUUUAAAGAAGUGUUUUCUGUUGAGGUUUUGGUAAAAGUUCUUUGGAAUAGGACAUCAUAGAGGGUGAGAAUCCCGUAUUUGACCUUUACUUUCAACUUUGUGAUACACUUUCAAAGAGUCGGAUUGUUUGGGAAUGCAGUCCAAAAUGGGUGGUAAAUUUCAUCUAAAGCUAAAUAUUGGCGAGAGACCGAUAGCGAACAAGUACCGUGAGGGAAAGAUGAAAAGAACUUUGAAAAGAGAGUUAAACAGUACGUGAAAUUGUCAAAAGGGAAGCGUUUGACACCAGUGUUGUUUUUCUGAAAAUCAAUUAAAGAACUGUUUAUGCUAAGUUGUUUAGACUUUAUCAGCUAACUGUUUAGUUUUGAGCUUUUCUUUAAUGCACUUUUCAGUUAACAAGUCAACAUCAAUUUCUUUUGCUGUAAAAAAGCUUGAGGAAGGUGGCUUGAGAUUCGUCUUAAGUGUUUAUAGCCUCUUGCCUAUGCAGUCGGAGAGAUUGAGGUCUGCAGCGUAGAUCCUUCGGGGCUAAAUGCAUUUGUGCUAAGUUAUAGCAUUUUAUAGACAACUUGUUGACUAUGAUUUGUCUUGUAGCUUACUCGCUUAUGUUAUUCUACCUACGCUUAGGAUGUUGACAGCAGUAUAGACUGU
rnacentral:rRNA from 1 species